rnacentral:rRNA from 1 species
CCUACGGGAGGCAGCAGUGGGGAAUAUUGGGCAAUGGGCGAGAGUCUGAACCAGCCAAGUAGCGUGAAGGAUGACUGCCCUAUGGGUUGUAAACUUCUUUUAUAUGGGAAUAAAAUGUUCCACGUGUGGGAUUUUGUAUGUACCAUAUGAAUAAGGAUCGGCUAACUCCGUGCCAGCAGCCGCGGUAAUACGGAGGAUCCGCGCGUUAUCCGGAUUUAUUGGGUUUAAAGGGAGCGUAGGUGGAAUGGUAAGUCAGUCGUGAAAGUUUGCGGCUCAACCGUAGAAUUGCAGUUGAAACUGGCAGUCUGGAGUGCAGUAGAGGUGAGCGGAAUUCGUGGUGUAGCGGUGAAAUGCUUAGAUAUCACGAAGAACUCCGAUUGCGAAGGCAGUUCACUGGACUGCAACUGACACUGAGGCUCGAAAGUGUGGGUAUCAAACAGGAUUAGAUACCCCAGUAGUC